UCCACGCUGUAAACGAUGAACACUUGGUGUUGCGGGUAUUGACCCCUGCAGUGCCGAAGCUAACGCAUUAAGUGUUCCGCCUGGGGAGUACGGUCGCAAGGCUGAAACUCAAAGGAAUUGAACGGGGGCCCGCACAAGCGGUGGAGCAUGUGGUUUAAUUCGACGCAACGCGAAGAACCUUACCUGGGUUUAAAUUGCAGUGGACCGCUCUAGAGAUAGAGUUUCCCUUCGGG
rnacentral:rRNA from 1 species